AAAAUCCUUCUCUUCAAAGCCCUCCACAGAUCACCUCUACAUGGGUCUGCAGCCUCGACAGCAGUCAGUCUACCACUCCCACCAAGGAAAAAUGCUUGCUUAGCAUAAGAUGGAGAAAUGUUUAUAUUGGGACAGUCAUUUGUGAUCACUAGACAGCGUCUUCAGUAGCA